UACGGGGGGGGCAAGCGUUGUUCGGAAUUACUGGGCGUAAAGAGCUCGUAGGCGGUCUGUCGCGUCGAAUGUGAAAACCCGGGGCUCAACCCCGGGCCUGCAUUCGAUACGGGCAGACUAGAGUUCGGUAGGGGAGUCUGGAAUUCCUGGUGUAGCGGUGAAAUGCGCAGAUAUCAGGAGGAACACCGGUGGCGAAGGCGGUUCUCUGGGCCUUACCUGACGCUGAGGAGCGAAAGCGUGGGGAGCGAACAGG
rnacentral:rRNA from 1 species